GGAGGGGAGGUAAGAACUGGAGCCGGAUCAUGAAGGUAGGCAGACAGAAGUGAGCAAAGGCUUGCAAGGAAGGAAGGAUCACCUGAGCAGAGACCCAUGGGGAUGCAGAGAUGUCCAGAGGAGAGUGAGGAAGAAGAGGCUGAGUAGGAUGAGACCCAGCAAGUGGGCUGGCUGGGGGCAGCAAUGUUCCAGCUCCAUCAGCUGGCCCGUCUAAUAGUUAAGAAUACAGCCUCCUCCUAUCAUAGGUUUAGCAGCCAGCUGUGGACUUUGAAAGAGGGAGCAGAGGUAGCCCCAGGACAGUGAGUGGAUUUGUGUCUCUAUCCAGUGUGGAUAAAUCUUGGAAGGAGCUCAGUAAUGUCCUCUCAGGGAUCUUCUGCGCCUCUCUCAACUUCAUCGACUCCACCAACACAGUCACUCCCACUGCCUCCUUCAAACCCCUGGGUCUGGCCAAUGACACUGACCACUACUUUCUGCGCUAUGCUGUGCUGCCACGGGAGGUGGUCUGCACCGAAAACCUCACCCCCUGGAAGAAGCUCUUGCCCUGUAGUUCCAAGGCAGGCCUCUCUGUGCUGCUGAAGGCAGAUCGCUUGUUCCACACCAGCUACCACUCCCAGGCAGUGCAUAUCCGCCCUGUUUGCAGAAAUGCACGCUGUACUAGCAUCUCCUGGGAGCUGAGGCAGACCCUGUCAGUUGUAUUUGAUGCCUUCAUCACGGGGCAGGGAAAGAAAGACUGGUCCCUCUUCCGGAUGUUCUCCCGAACCCUCACGGAGCCCUGCCCCCUGGCUUCAGAGAGCCGAGUCUAUGUGGACAUCACCACCUACAACCAGGACAACGAGACAUUAGAGGUGCACCCACCCCCGACCACUACAUAUCAGGACGUCAUCCUAGGCACUCGGAAGACCUAUGCCAUCUAUGACUUGCUUGACACCGCCAUGAUCAACAACUCUCGAAACCUCAACAUCCAGCUCAAGUGGAAGAGACCCCCAGAGAAUGAGGCCCCCCCAGUGCCCUUCCUGCAUGCCCAGCGGUACGUGAGCGGCUAUGGGCUGCAGAAGGGGGAGCUGAGCACACUGCUGUACAACACCCACCCAUACCGGGCCUUCCCGGUGCUGCUGCUGGACACCGUACCCUGGUAUCUGCGGCUGUAUGUGCACACCCUCACCAUCACCUCCAAGGGCAAGGAGAACAAACCAAGUUACAUCCACUACCAGCCUGCCCAGGACCGGCUGCAACCCCACCUCCUGGAGAUGCUGAUUCAGCUGCCGGCCAACUCAGUCACCAAGGUUUCCAUCCAGUUUGAGCGGGCGCUGCUGAAGUGGACCGAGUACACGCCAGAUCCUAACCAUGGCUUCUAUGUCAGCCCAUCUGUCCUCAGCGCCCUUGUGCCCAGCAUGGUAGCAGCCAAGCCAGUGGACUGGGAAGAGAGUCCCCUCUUCAACAGCUUGUUCCCAGUCUCUGAUGGCUCUAACUACUUUGUGCGGCUCUACACGGAGCCGCUGCUGGUGAACCUGCCGACACCGGACUUCAGCAUGCCCUACAACGUGAUCUGCCUCACGUGCACUGUGGUGGCCGUGUGCUAUGGCUCCUUCUACAAUCUCCUCACCCGAACCUUCCACAUCGAGGAGCCCCGCACAGGUGGCCUGGCCAAGCGGCUGGCCAACCUUAUCCGGCGUGCCCGAGGUGUCCCCCCACUCUGAUUCUUGCCCUUUCCAGCAGCUGCAGCUGCCGUUUCUCUCUGGGGAGGGGAGCCCAAGGGCUGUUUCUGCCACUUGCUCUCCUCAGAGUUGGCUUUUGAACCAAAGUGCCCUGGACCAGGUCAGGGCCUACAGCUGUGCUGUCCAGUACAGGAGCCACGAGCCAAAUGUGGCAUUUGAAUUUGAAUUAACUUAGAAAUUCAUUUCCUCACCUGUAGUGGCCACCUCUAUAUUGAGGUGCUCAAUAAGCAAAAGUGGUCAGUGGCUGCUGUAUUGGACAGCACAGAAAAAGAUUUCCAUCACCACAGAAAGGUCGGCUGGCAGCACUGGCCAAGGUGAUGGGGUGUGCUGCACAGUGUAUGUCACUGUGUAGUGGAUGGAGUUUACUGUUUGUGG
rnacentral:sRNA from 1 species